CCAGACUCCUACGGGAGGCAGCAGUAGGGAAUCUUUCACAAUGGGCGAAAGCCUGACGCAGCAACGCCGCGUGCGGGACGAAGGCCCUCGGGUUGUAAACCGCUUUCAGCAGGGAAGACUUUACGACGGUACCUGCAGAAGAAGCUCCGGCUAACUACGUGCCAGCAGCCGCGGUCAUACGUAGGAUCCGAGCAUUAUCCGGAGUGACUGGGUGUAAAGAGUUGCGUAGGUGGCAUAAUAAGUAGCUAGUGAAAUCUGGUGGCUCAACCAUUCAGACUAUUAGCUAAACUGUUAAGCUCGAGACCGUUAGGGGUAACUGGAAUUUCUAGUGUAGGAGUGAAAUCCGUAGAUAUUAGAAGGAACACCAAUAGCGUAGGCAGGUUACUGGGACGGUUCUGACACUAAGGCACGAAAGCGUAGGGAGCAAACGGGAUUAGAUACCCCUGUA
rnacentral:rRNA from 1 species